rnacentral:rRNA from 1 species
UGGGGAAUUUUGGACAAUGGGCGAAAGCCUGAUCCAGCAAUGCCGCGUGUGUGAAGAAGGCCUUCGGGUUGUAAAGCACUUUUGUCCGGAAAGAAAUCCUUGGCUCUAAUACAGUCGGGGGAUGACGGUACCGGAAGAAUAAGCACCGGCUAACUACGUGCCAGCAGCCGCGGUAAUACGUAGGGUGCAAGCGUUAAUCGGAAUUACUGGGCGUAAAGCGUGCGCAGGCGGUUUGCUAAGACCGAUGUGAAAUCCCCGGGCUCAACCUGGGAACUGCAUUGGUGACUGGCAGGCUAGAGUAUGGCAGAGGGGGGUAGAAUUCCACGUGUAGCAGUGAAAUGCGUAGAGAUGUGGAGGAAUACCGAUGGCGAAGGCAGCCCCCUGGGCCAAUACUGACGCUCAUGCACGAAAGCGUGGGGAGCAAACAGGAUUAGAUACCCUGGUAGUCCACGCCCUAAACGAUGUCAACUAGUUGUGGGGAUUCAUUUCCUUAGUAACGUAGCUAACGCGUGAAGUUGACCGCCUGGGGAGUACGGUCGCAAGAUUAAAACUCAAAGGAAUUGAC